rnacentral:rRNA from 1 species
GAUGAACGCUGGCGGCGUGCCUAAUACAUGCAAGUCGAGCGAACGGACGAGGAGCUUGCUCCUCUGACGUUAGCGGCGGACGGGUGAGUAACACGUGGAUAACCUACCUAUAAGACUGGGAUAACUUCGGGAAACCGGAGCUAAUACCGGAUAAUAUAUUGAACCGCAUGGUUCAAUAGUGAAAGACGGUUUUGCUGUCACUUAUAGAUGGAUCCGCGCCGCAUUAGCUAGUUGGUAAGGUAACGGCUUACCAAGGCAACGAUGCGUAGCCGACCUGAGAGGAUGAUCGGCCACACUGGAACUGAGACACGGUCCAGACUCCUACGGGAGGCAGCAGUAGGGAAUCUUCCGCAAUGGGCGAAAGCUUGACGGAGCAACGCCGCGUGAGUGAUGAAGGUCUUCGGAUCGUAAAACUCUGUUAUUAGGGAAGAACAAAUGUGUAAGUAACUAUGCACGUCUUGACGGUACCUAAUCAGAAAGCCACGGCUAACUACGUG